AGAGUUUGAUCCUGGCUCAGGAUGAACGCUGGCUGUGUGCCUAAUACAUGCAUGUCGAGCGAGGUUCUUUUGAACCUAGCGGCGAAUGGGUGAGUAACACGUGCUUAAUCUACCCUUUAGAUUGGAAUACACAAUGGAAACAUUGGCUAAUGCCGGAUACGCAUGGAAUCGCAUGAUUCCGUUGUGAAAGGAGCCUUUAAAGCUCCGCUAGAGGAUGAGGGUGCGGAACAUUAGUUAGUUGGUAGGGUAAUGGCCUACCAAGACUAUGAUGUUUAGCCGGGUCGAGAGACUGAACGGCCACAUUGGGACUGAGAUACGGCCCAAACUCCUACGGGAGGCAGCAGUAGGGAAUAUUCCACAAUGAGCGAAAGCUUGAUGGAGCGACACAGCGUGCACGAUGAAGGUCUUCGGAUUGUAAAGUGCUGUUAUAGGGAAAGAACACCUGGUUGAGGAAAUGCUUCCAGGCUGACGGUACCCUNGGCGUAAAGCGUUCGUAGGCUGUUUAUUAAGUCUGGAGUCAAAUCCCAGGGCUCAACCCUGGCUCGCUUUGGAUACUGAUAAACUAGAGUUAGAUAGAGGUAAGCGGAAUUCCAUGUGAAGCGGUGAAAUGCGUAGAUAUAUGGAAGAACACCAAAGGCGAAGGCAGCUUACUGGGUCUAUACUGACGCUGAGGGACGAAAGCGUGGGGAGCAAACAGGAUUAGAUACCCUGGUAGUCCACGCCGUAAACGAUGAUCAUUAGUCGGUGGAGAGUUCACUGACGCAGCUAACGCAUUAAAUGAUCCGCCUGAGUAGUAUGCUCGCAAGAGUGAAACUUAAAGGAAUUGACGGGGACCCGCACAAGCGGUGGAGCAUGUGGUUUAAUUUGAAGAUACGCGGAGAACCUUACCCACUCUUGACAUCCUUCGCAAUGCUAUAGAGAUAUAGCGGAGGUUAACGGAGUGACAGAUGGUGCAUGGUUGUCGUCAGCUCGUGUCGUGAGAUGUUUGGUCAAGUCCUGCAACGAGCGCAACCCCUAUCUUUAGUUACUAACGAGUUAUGUCGAGGACUCUAGAGAUACUGCCUGGGUAACUGGGAGGAAGGUGGGGAUGACGUCAAAUCAUCAUGCCUCUUACGAGUGGGGCAACACACGUGCUACAAUGGUCGGUACAAAGAGAAGCAAUAUGGCGACAUGGAGCAAAUCUCAAAAAGCCGAUCUCAGUUCGGAUUGGAGUCUGCAAUUCGACUCCAUGAAGUCGGAAUCGCUAGUAAUCGCAGAUCAGCUACGCUGCGGUGAAUACGUUCUCGGGUCUUGUACACACCGCCCGUCGCACCAUGGGAGCUGGUAAUACCCAAAGUCGGUUAGCUAACCUCGGAGGCGACCGCCUAAGGUAGGACUGGUGACUGGGGUGAAGUCGUAACAAGGUAUCCCUACGAGAACGUGGGGAUGGAUCACCU
rnacentral:rRNA from 2 species